GGAGGAGUGCCAGAGCGGUUGAAUGGGGCGGUCUCGAAAACCGUUAGGUCCGCAAGGGUCUCGAGGGUUCGAAUCCUUCCUCCUCCGCCA
rnacentral:tRNA from 1 species